rnacentral:rRNA from 1 species
AGAGUUUGAUCCUGGCUCAGGAUGAACGCUGGCGGCGUGCUUAACACAUGCAAGUCGAACGAACCUUCGGGUUAGUGGCGGACGGGUGAGUAACGCGUGGGAAUCUGCCCUCAGGAGGGGGAUAACGGUUGGAAACGACCGCUAAUACCCCAUAUGCCGAGAGGUGAAAUGAAUUUCGCCUGAGGAUGAGCCCGCGUCUGAUUAGCUUGUUGGUGAGGUAAUGGCUCACCAAGGCUUCGAUCAGUAGCUGGUCUGAGAGGAUGAUCAGCCACACUGGGACUGAGACACGGCCCAGACUCCUACGGGAGGCAGCAGUGGGGAAUUUUCCGCAAUGGGCGAAAGCCUGACGGAGCAACGCCGCGUGAGGGACGAAGGCCUCUGGGCUGUAAACCUCUUUUCUCAAGGAAGAAGAUAUGACGGUACUUGAGGAAUAAGCCACGGCUAAUUCCGUGCCAGCAGCCGCGGUAAUACGGGAGUGGCAAGCGUUAUCCGGAAUUAUUGGGCGUAAAGCGUCCGCAGGCGGCCUUUCAAGUCUGCUGUUAAAGCGUGGAGCUUAACUCCAUCAUGGCAGUGGAAACUGAUAGGCUUGAGUAUGGUAGGGGCAGAGGGAAUUCCCGGUGUAGCGGUGAAAUGCGUAGAUAUCGGGAAGAACACCAGUGGCGAAGGCGCUCUGCUGGGCCAUAACUGACGCUCAUGGACGAAAGCCAGGGGAGCGAAAGGGAUUAGAUACCCCUGUAGUCCUGGCCGUAAACGAUGAACACUAGGUGUCGGGGGAAUCGACCCCUUCGGUGUCGUAGCUAACGCGUUAAGUGUUCCGCCUGGGGAGUACGCACGCAAGUGUGAAACUCAAAGGAAUUGACGGGGGCCCGCACAAGCGGUGGAGUAUGUGGUUUAAUUCGAUGCAACGCGAAGAACCUUACCAGGGUUUGACAUCCUGCGAACCUUUAAGAAAUUAGAGGGUGCCUUCGGGAACGCAGUGACAGGUGGUGCAUGGCUGUCGUCAGCUCGUGUCGUGAGAUGUUGGGUUAAGUCCCGCAACGAGCGCAACCCACGUUUUUAGUUGCCAGCAUUUAGUUGGGCACUCUAGAAAGACCGCCGGUGAUAAACCGGAGGAAGGUGUGGAUGACGUCAAGUCAUCAUGCCCCUUACAUCCUGGGCUACACACGUACUACAAUGCUACGGACAAAGGGCAGCAAACUCGCGAGAGCUAGCAAAUCCCAUAAACCGUGGCUCAGUUCAGAUCGUAGGCUGCAACUCGCCUACGUGAAGUAGGAAUCGCUAGUAAUCGCAGGUCAGCAUACUGCGGUGAAUACGUUCCCGGGCCUUGUACACACCGCCCGUCACACCAUGGAAGUUGGCCAUGCCCGAAGUCGUUACUUUAACCCUUGUGGAGAAGGACGCCGAAGGUGGGGCUGAUGACUGGGGUGAAGUCGUAACAAGGUAGCCGUACCGGAAGGUGCGGCUG